AAAAUCAUUAUUUACAAAUUUUCAAUCUUUCCAAAAAUUAAAUUGAAAAAAAUAUUAGAAUAUUAGUAUGAAGGAUAUUUUAAAACUUUUUGAUCACAUAACUAAAUGAAAAAUAAUCUCAAAUAUAAUAAUAAUUAAUUAAUUAGCAAUAUUGCUUUUUUUAUAAUGAAGAGGAUUACCUUAGUAUCAAAUGUGGAUGAAAGAAUAUAUUAAUAUCUGGAAAUGAAGGAAAGAAGAAUUGAAAUUACAAAAAACUUAAAAAGUCUUCGAGACUAGUGCUUCACACUGAAGGAAUAGGAGCAAUAUAGUACUAACCCCUUUUCGCGUAUUGUAAAAAAAAUUAUUGGUUAGCAACACAAUCACAGCAAAGAAAAACGAAUUUCGUAUUGUUUUCUAUUUUUUUAUUCAAAGGUACCAAUUAGUGGAAUAAUUUCUCAGGCUUAACUGUGUUGGUCUGCUCCAUUUAUUUAUAAUCGACAAAUGUGUAUGAAAAAAUAAACUACCUAAAAUUUAAUUCGCAGAAAAACGGCAAUGGAGCGACACAACAAGCGGGACUACCUGCAGAAGCAGUAGCAUGACCAACGCACAGCCAUCUCCAUAUAUUUCAUUAUUGAGCUGAAAAUCUGCAAGAGAUUAGUUUGUGUGCCAAGAUCCAACCAUUUGCUAAAGGCCACGCACACGCAUCAAAGCUAGAGUUUUGAAAACUUUGUCAUCAUCUAAGCUUACCAGUGAAUACACAUAUUUUUUUAUACAAAUACUACUCUCCAAGAAUCGUACGCUUGCGCAUCUUUCCCCCCACAAUUUAGGAACAUUAAUAUGAGCGUAAAAUGCUUCAUAAGAAGCCGCCGAAGCAAAGCUUUCAGCAAGCAGACAGGGAAAGACCAAUAAAUUCAUUUUAAUGCUAUAUACACACAACAGUGAAAAGACAAAGCAGUAUACAGCCACAACGGAGGAGUUUGUUGGAUGUUCUCUUCUGUAAAUGCUACGCGAAGAUAAGCUAAUUAUGUUGGCGCUUAAGUUUAGUUGGAUACAAAAAUAGAUAUGCACGUGUAUAGAUCGGCAGCGGAUAUGAAAUGAUAAUAAAUUCAAAAUUUGAUUUAUUUCACCAUAAGCUAAAGAUAUUUAAUGAGUUACAAUUAAAAGAUAUACACAUUUAUAACGUUAUUUCAAUGGCUUGUGGGUUUUUAAAUGUUUUUUGCUUUUUAUUUACUUUUAUUUCUCAGAUCAUCUAAGUUACCAAUAUUGCCCACUCUUGAAGUGGAAAUUGAAGUUAACACAGCUGAAAGGAAUCGUUUCUCAGUUACAAAUAUUUAUGAUAGCCUGCAGAUACCGUGAUAAUACAGAUUUUCAGCCAUCACAUACUAGUUGAUUCGAACAAAUAUUUUUUGAAAGAAUUCUUUCCGCAGAAAAAAGGCGGCUGCUCUGAUUGCAUACACGAUAAUUCCGAGAAAAUAACGUAAAAAUGUACAUGCAUACAUAUCUAUACACUGAAAUACGCAUGCGCAACGUAAAUGAAAUUGUUGUUCGUCUGUGGUUUUGUUGCGGCAGUUGACUUGUUGCAAAAACGCAUGUUUCACAUGCCAUCAAUAGCUCACAGCCGACAAGCAGACAGACGAGCCCAUGACUGCAAGGACCCAUCAGACUGACUAAUGAUAAUGGUUCAUCAACACUUUCAUCAUUAACGUGUCAUCUUUGAUGUUUCAACAUGAGGACAAGUGAGAAGAUCCAAAAUUAAGGAACAAACCGUGUUUUUUAUCAAGAAAAUGCGAAAUAAAUAAAGAAAUGUCAGAGGAGAGUGCAUAAAGAAUAUUUGAAAAAGGGAAAUAUUUGUGAAAAGAUGUUGCACUCAGCAUUUUAGGUUAUGUUUACAUGAUAUAAAUAGGUAAAGAACACUAUGACUUUAUUUUGAUGGCGCUUUUUUCAAUAUGCAAUCACUGUAAGCACAACUCCGUAAAUGAGUUGUGAA